rnacentral:misc_RNA from 1 species
AACGCCACAUUGAAAUCAAAUGCUUCAUUCCUUUCGUUAAACCCUAGUCCAAUGAACGCAUGUUUCCCUCUCCCAUCCUCGAUCUUCAACACGAAGUACCUCGACGAAUCCAACACCGAUUCCACCGAGCUCUCUCUCUGUCCCGGCGGCACAAAACACGCCGCGAACAGCUCAGCUGAGUUCGGAUCCUCCAGUCGGAUCUCACAACGUUCCUUACAGGAUACAACCCGGAGCCGACCCGUCCAGAUCUUAUCGGAUUGUAGCCAUUCACCACACUUGUAACCACCGCUCGUCGGACGCGGCGGGAUUUUGAAAACAGACACCUCACGCACCACAAGGAGCGUGUGCUCAAACGAUUCUUCAUCCUCCUCGAACGACAUUGUCUUUGAAGCUACGUUAACAAUGGAAGAUCAAAGAAAAAAUCAGUCUUUCAGCUUUUUCGGAGUGAAGAAGAAAGGUG